CGUAGGGGGCGAGCGUUGUCCGGAAUUAUUGGGCGUAAAGAGCUCGUAGGCGGUUGGGCAAGUCACGUGUGAAAUCUCCACGCUCAACGUGGAGGCGUCACGUGAGACUGCCCUGACUCGAGUCCGGUAGGGGAGCGUGGAAUUCCCGGUGUAGCGGUGAAAUGCGCAGAGAUCGGGAGGAACACCCGUAGCGAAGGCGGCGCUCUGGGCCGGUACUGACGCUGAGGAGCGAAAGCGUGGGGAGCAAACAGGAUUAGAUACCCUGGUAGUCCACGCCGUAAACGUUGGGCACUAGGUGUGGGGCUCUAUCGACGGGCUCCGUGCCGUAGCUAACGCAUUAAGUGCCCCGCCUGGGGAGUACGGCCGCAAGGCUA
rnacentral:rRNA from 1 species